rnacentral:rRNA from 1 species
CAGCCGCCGCGGUAAUACGUAGGGUGCGAGCGUUAAUCGGAAUUACUGGGCGUAAAGCGUGCGCAGGCGGUUCGUUAAGACAGAUGUGAAAUCCCCGGGCUUAACCUGGGAACUGCAUUUGUGACUGGCGAGCUAGAGUAUGGCAGAGGGGGGUAGAAUUCCACGUGUAGCAGUGAAAUGCGUAGAGGUGUGGAGGAAUACCGAUGGCGAAGGCAGCCCCCUGGGCCAAUACUGACGCUCAUGCACGAAAGCGUGGGGAGCAAACAGGAUUAGAUACCCCCGUAGUCCCUGUCUCUUAUAC